rnacentral:rRNA from 1 species
GAAGGUUGUGCCCUUGAGGCGUGGCUUCCGGAGCUAAACGCGUUAAGUCGACCGCCUGGGGAGUACGGCCGCAAGGUUAAAACUCAAAUGAAUUGACGGGGGCCCCGCACAAGCGGUGGAGCAUGUGGUUUUAAUUCGAUGCAACGCGAAAGAACCUUACCUGGUCUUGACAUCCACGGAAGUUUUCAGAGAUGAGAAUGUGCCUUCGGGAACCGUGAGACAGGUGCUGCAUGGCUGUCGUCAGCUCGUGUUGUGAAAUGUUGGGUUAAGUCCCGCAACGAGCGCAACCCUUAUCCUUUGUUGCCAGCGGUCCGGCCGGGAACUCAAAGGAGACUGCCAGUGAUAAACUGGAGGAAGGUGGGGAUGACGUCAAGUCAUCAUGGCCCUUACGACCAGGGCUACACACGUGCUACAAUGGCGCAUACAAAGAGAAGCGACCUCGCGAGAGCAAGCGGACCUCAUAAAGUGCGUCGUAGUCCGGAUUGGAGUCUGCAACUCGACUCCAUGAAGUCGGAAUCGCUAGUAAUCGUGGAUCAGAAUGCCACGGUGAAUACGUUCCCGGGCCUUGUACACACCGCCCGUCACACCAUGGGAGUGGGUUGCAAAAGAAGUAGGUAGCUUAACCUUCGGGAGGGCGCUUACCACUUUGUGAUUCAUGACUGGGGUGAAGUCGUAACAAGGUAACCGUAGGGGAACCUGCGGUUG